AUGGAGUGGGGUGCACAUGAUCUCAAGUCAAAACAGUUUUAUCUAAUUCUCAGAAGAUUCUAAGGUUGCAAGCUAGGUACUUGAAAGGAAUUACAACGGAGAAAAUAUUCAUCAUCUCCAAGCAUAUUACUUUAGAGUUCACAUUAAAUUGAGCAUAAACAAACUAGUGCACUUCUCCAUUAUUUUAUUCUCACACUCUAAUAACGGCAUAUAUAAAGACUCAUACUUUUUAUUAGGUUUCAAAAGGUUAUGCAUCUUUUUAUUUCUUUUCAACCUAAAGCAAACUUAUGUGAAUAUAGCUAAUAAUAUUGUAAGAUAUAGUGAUACUUAUCGGGAUAAAUGGGGGUUGCUCUCCCCCAAGCUGGAUCUUUAUGAGGGGUUCUUGAUAAAGCAGGAGUGAGACAGAGUUGAUGAUGACUUGGGCCUCCUUUGGAUGGCGCCUGAGUGCCUCCUGAGUGGUCGGUUUCCUUCACCUCAUCAUGUCUUAUUCCUUAAAUUCUGCUGAACUCAAAUAGACAACAAAGCUAGUGGAACUAGUUAAGCGUUAGAAAUAUAACCACCUAGACUUUGGUUGCCUGAGAUUAUCAUUAAUGCUAAGCAUAAAUUCAGCAGAGUUAGUAUUUUUAGAUUUUGAUAUUUUAUCAUGCAAUGAAUCAAGAUGCAACAGGACUAUUCUAAAUGAAUGCAUAUUUAUUUCAUUUUUAUGACACCACAGCGAGUAGUACUCACAUGGGGCUUCAAGUGUAUGCAAAUGUAAAGACAUAUUUAUUUUCUUUUCUAAUGCAAAUGUAACAGGUAAUGAUACUAAAGGAAAAAUUACUAAUGCAAAAAUGACUAAGCAAAUAUGCUAUGCAGAUAAAUACCGAAUUACCUUUCGGCAAAGGUUGAAGUCUUACCUACUCCCAUGGUACAUCAGUGGUCACACAAGGUGGCACUGAUGAUGUAGACGAUGAUGAACUAGACUUCUUCUUUCUUCUCCAAGCCUUCUUCUUUGAUGGAGGACUUACCUCAGGAGUGGUUUGUCAUUCCUCCUUUUCUUCUUCAAUCUUGUCGCUUACCUCUACGGGCUUCGGUUAUUCGUCUUGAUUGAUUAAUUUGCUUACAUCUACGAUCUCCGGUUCUUUUUCCUCGUUGUUGAGCAGCUUCUUCUUUUCAGCACAACGGCGUCUUCUUACCCUAUUCUUGUUAGGUAAUUCAUAUGCAUUAUAAGUAAUAAAAUUACAACGUACCUUUUCCUUGGGGAAUUGGAAGUGGAUCUCUCCUGUCCUAACAUAGAUGAUAGGUUGUGUCGUGUUUAGAAAUGGCCUUCCCAGGACUAUGGGUGGAUCGUACUCUUCUUCUCCCAUGUCCAUGACUAAAAAGUCAGCGAAGACAUAAUGACGGUCGAUUCUUACUGGUACGUCUUUGACUAUUCCUUCUGGCUUCCGAAAUGUUUGGUCUGCAUCUGCAGCUGUGUAUACGUUUGAUGCCAAGGUAAUUGACCAAAUAUUAGUUCAUAUGUUACCUUAGCCAUGAGGUUUAUGCCAGAUCCUGUGUCGCAUACAACAUUGUAAAAGUUAAAUUGAUUGAUGGCGCAUGCUAUGGUCGGAGCUCCUGGAUCUUCAAGCUUUGGUAGAGUCAUGGGCUCAGCAGCAUAGUCCCAUUCUGAAUGCGUAGAUGAUGGCCUUUCCGGUGCUCAAAAAUGGUCGUCCCAAAAUGAUUGGGGAGUUUUCACUUCCUCCGGUUUCCACUACUACAAAGUCUGCAGGUAGGUAGGAGUGUCCUACUUGCACACAUACGUCUUCUAGUAUUCCCUUGGGGUAGCACAGUGACUGACCUGCAAGCUGCAAACACAUGGUUGUGUAUAAUAAAGGUUGACCAUGUAUUUUCUGAUAGAUUACCUUAGGCAUAAUGUUGAUAGUUGAUCCAAAGUCACAGAGGGCAUUCUCGAAGGUGUAGGGUCCAACAGAGAUGGUGAUGAAUGGCCUCCCUGGAUCUCCUCUCUUGGUGGGCAUCGAGUCGUCAAUCCAUCCUCCUGGCGAUGGUUGCUUAUAGUAGAAACCUGCAUUAAAGAUAUGGACAAAAUUUACUGAUUCUAAUUCUUUCAGCUGUCCCGGAAUCUUACCUGAUGUGGUCAAUGGAAUAGAUUGAGCUAGCUGAGAGAUCUGAGAUUCUAUCAUUUUAUUGAAACUAUUUUGGCUCUUAAUAGUGGAAGAAAACCUAUCCAUUCUAUUAUUAAUGUUUUCUAACAUUUUAUCAUUAGAAGCUAGUUUCUUCAAUAAAUUUUCCAUAGUUUUACUUUGAUUAAUGACUAGCUCUCUCAAGGGUGGUUGAUUGAAACUAUUGAAAGAAUUAUUACCU